rnacentral:rRNA from 1 species
CCGAGGAGUACUGGCCGUUCGCGAGUUGUAGCAGCCAUCUCUGACGAACCCCGAAGGCGUAGCGAAAGCGAGAGUGCGCGUGGGAGGGCACCUUACCGGGAGAGGUGUCGCGGCGAAAGCGGUCCGACGGGGUGUCCUCUUCCUUCCGCCGCCUAUCCAUGCCUGAUCCAGCCGGCGCUUAACAUCUUCCUCUCGUUGUCAUUCCACGUGUUUCCAUCCGUCUCGAAUCAGUUCCCGAUUUUCCCCUCGUCCGGAGAUGACGGGCUCGGGCUUUGCAGCGAGAAAAUCUCACGGGGAAGCCGUCGGCGGAGUGCAGUCUCAAACUUUCCUCCCACCGCCCAUCAGUGAGAUCCGGCCGCUUGAACUAGUUACGAUUUAGGUCGUCGAUUUUAGGCGCUGCGCGCGGGCGCAUCACCCACGGGACGGUAAUUUUUCUCCGAGUACGACUCAGCCGAGUCUGGCGUAGCGAGCGGCCAGGGACCCGGAGGAUGGCCAUCCACGCCCAAUCGGGAUGAAGCCAGAGGAAACUGGUGGAAGUGCCUCUGACGUACAAAUCGAUCGUCGGAACAGGGUGUAGAGGUGAAAGACCAAUGGAGCCGUCUA